CCUACCUACCUACCUACCUACCUACCUCUACCAACCACCACUCCAUAUCCUGACUGACAUGACCUGUGAUCCAGUGAUUGACAGGAGAGGAAAGACAGGCCAACUUUGUUAGCUGUUCGUUAGGAUAUGCUCGAGAGGACAAAAGAUUUUGCACCUCGUUAUUGUUGGACCUCUGUGUGGAAACUGCAAACGGGACGUCAUAAGUGUGGUGCAUUGCUGUCCUCCUGCCCUUGCUGGCCGCGCUGACAUUGUGAUGUAGCCUCAGUUCUUUGAGAGACAAGACAAAACAGCAGGGAAUAAUUUUAUGUCUGCAAGCCGCUGGAUGAUCAGUUUGGAGGGCAAGAUAUUUUAUGAGCCUGAGCAGAUGCACGACUUUGGCAGCACCCUUGCUGUCUUCUUUGCGUCAUACUACGUUUUCAACCUUGAGUAUCAGGAGUCAGCGUCCAUCACACUGGAGAUGAUACAGAGGUUCUUUGUGAGGAUCCAGACAUGGGAACAAAAUGCCCUGCAAAACUUGGUACAAGCCGCAAGACAGGUCGUG